rnacentral:rRNA from 1 species
GNCUUAGAGUUUGAUCAUGGCUCAGGACGAACGCUGGCGGCGUGCUUAACACAUGCAAGUCGAACGGAGCACCCUUGACUGAGGCUUCGGCCAAAUGAUAGGAAUGCUUAGUGGCGGACUGGUGAGUAACGCGUGAGGAACCUGCCUUCCAGAGGGGGACAACAGUUGGAAACGACUGCUAAUACCGCAUGAUAUAUUUGAGGGGCAUCCCUUGGAUAUCAAGGAUUAUAUCGCUGGAAGAUGGCCUCGCGUCUGAUUAGCUAGUAGGCGGGGUAACGGCCCACCUAGGCGACGAUCAGUAGCCGGACUGAGAGGUUGACCGGCCACAUUGGGACUGAGAUACGGCCCAGACUCCUACGGGAGGCAGCAGUGGGGAAUAUUGGGCAAUGGGCGCAAGCCUGACCCAGCAACGCCGCGUGAAGGAAGAAGGCUUUCGGGUUGUAAACUUCUUUUGUCAGGGAACAGUAGAAGAGGGUACCUGACGAAUAAGCCACGGCUAACUACGUGCCAGCAGCCGCGGUAAUACGUAGGUGGCAAGCGUUGUCCGGAUUUACUGGGUGUAAAGGGCGUGCAGCCGGGCUGGUAAGUCAGAUGUGAAAUCUGGAGGCUCAACCUCCAAACUGCAUUUGAAACUGCUGGUCUUGAGUACCGGAGAGGUUAUCG